rnacentral:lncRNA from 1 species
GGGGGCAGGGUGGAUGAGGUAAUACCAGGUUGCGACAGGUCCACACGACUAGCUCGGUCAACGAGGCCACCUGCUGAAAUGCCAUCUGUGUAUGACACUGUGCAAUGUGCAGAAGGAACUUCCAUGACUUCGUGGGCCUUAAGGAAUGGAGCCAUCGGAGGAAACCAACCGAACAAAGUGCUUGAACAAUUCAGGUGAUUAACAAAUGCACUCGUUGAAUAUUUCUUGCACUCAUGUAUUCAAAAAUAUUUAUAGAGCGGGCACCUUGGACAU